ensembl:snoRNA
CUGCAUCUUUGACAGCCUGGGCUCUCUGCUGUGGGAUAUCCUGGGUUUUACUAAUUCAGAUGCAAUAUUAAAUGUCCCUGCGCUUUCUGCCUGCCUAUUUUCCAUGGCUGCUCGGAUUGAAUCAGGGAGGACAAAU